rnacentral:rRNA from 1 species
GAGGAAAAGAAACCAACAGGGAUUGCCCCAGUAACGGCGAGUGAAGCGGCAAGAGCUCAAAUUUGAAAGCUGGCUCCUUCGGGGUCCGCAUUGUAAUUUGUAGAGGAUGCUUCGGGAGCGGUCCCCAUCUAAGUGCCCUGGAACGGGACGUCAUAGAGGGUGAGAAUCCCGUAUGGGAUGGGGUGUCCGCGCCCGUGUGAAGCUCCUUCGACGAGUCGAGUUGUUUGGGAAUGCAGCUCUAAAUGGGUGGUAAAUUUCAUCUAAAGCUAAAUAUUGGCCGGAGACCGAUAGCGCACAAGUAGAGUGAUCGAAAGAUGAAAAGCACUUUGAAAAGAGAGUUAAAAAGCACGUGAAAUUGUUGAAAGGGAAGCGCUUGCGACCAGACUCGCUCGCGGGGUUCAGCCGGCAUUCGUGCCGGUGUACUUCCCCGCGGGCGGGCCAGCGUCGGUUUGGGCGGUCGGUCAAAGGCCCUCGGAAGGUAACGCCCCUAGGGGCGUCUUAUAGCCGAGGGUGCAAUGCGACCUGCCUAGACCGAGGAACGCG